UUCCUUCAUUUGAUAUGUACUCUGUUAGUAUCCAAAAACUGAAGUUUCGACAUUAUAACACUUCCCGAAACUCUACUCUUGCGGAUUAUCAGAUGUUGAUACUGGUUUCAAUGGUCAUUUGGGUACUUUUUAUUGUUUGAUUCGAUAUUUGGUGUAUCAUUGCUUAUAUUGCCUCCACCUACCUGCUUGCUAGUGUUUAGAUCUUCAUUAUAUUUGCUUUACCCGCAAUUGAAAAGGGCGAGGUGAUUGCUCUACUUGACAUAGCACUAUGUUUGUAUAGGCAACUCAGAAGGGAAAGUGAUUUCACUUUGAACUUCGAUAGUGAAUAUUUAUACCUUUCAUGUCCAACAUAAUCGUUGACAACUCAAAUAAGGACAAAUGUUUUCUGGCAACGAUAGAAAAAAAAUGAUUGUUGCAGCUCUCGAUGUGCUUCAGAUAACUAUGUUGCCAUUGAUAGACACUGUCAUAUUGUAUGGGGACUUUGCUCUUUGGACAUAGAAGACGCUCACAUAUCUAAAGACAAAAGCAAUGCAGCUAUAAAUUUGUUUUGCACUUUUAUAUGGGAUUAGGACUUUACUAUUUUUAUUACUAGUAGUAUAUUUGUUCAAAAUACAUAAGAUUGUUUUAUGUAAAAUCGUUAGAUACUUUGGAUAUCUAUUAUCCAAAUUUUGGAAUUUUAUUUGAAUGAGUAUUUAAUGAAA